UUGUGCACAUUUGUCAGAAGCCAUUUUUGUUAUCCCAGUUGCACAAGCGUCUAGCUAACUUGUGUGGUGCGACCCCUUUAUUAUUUGUCUGUAAUUCUCUUUGGGCCCCAAGAAGAAAAACCAGUAAAGGGGAAAAUCGUGUCUUCCUUCACCAGGCAAACGACGAUAGAUGGACUUGAUGAGACUGUUAACAGAUGAUGAGUGAUUACAAGGUAGAGAUGAUCAAUGAUGGCAUGCAAGAGUUCUAUGUACAUUUUCAUCCCUUGCAAUUGUGCCAAUAAAAUGUAGCUGUUUUGCCCAGAAUUCUG